GAUGAAGAACGUAGCGAAAUGCGAUACUUGGUGUGAAUUGCAGAAUCCCGUGAACCAUCGAGUCUUUGAACGCAAGUUGCGCCCGAAGCCAUUUGGUUGAGGGCACGUCUGCCUGGGCGUCACAUAUCGUUGCCCGAUGCCUAUUGCAGUGCAAUAGGAAUUUCUAGGGCGAAUGAUGGCUUCCCGUGAGCGUUGUUGCCUCGCGGUUGGUUGAAAAUCGAGUCCUUGGUAGGGUGUGCCAUGGUAGAUGGUGGUCGAGUUAGAACGAUACCGAUCAUGUGCAUGCUCCCCAAAAUAUGGCCUCUAUGACCCACACGCGUCUUUUGACGCUCAUGACGAGACCUCAGGUCAGGCGGGGCUACCCGCUGAAUUUAAGCAUAUCAAUAAGCGGAGGA
rnacentral:misc_RNA from 1 species